AUUGAACGCUGGCGGCAUGCCUUACACAUGCAAGUCGAACGGCAGCACGGGUGCUUGCACCCGGUGGCGAGUGGCGAACGGGUGAGUAAUACAUCGGAACAUGUCCUGUAGUGGGGGAUAGCCCGGCGAAAGCCGGAUUAAUACCGCAUACGAUCUACGGAUGAAAGCGGGGGGCCUUCGGGCCUCGCGCUAUAGGGUUGGCCGAUGGCUGAUUAGCUAGUUGGUGGGGUAAAGGCCUACCAAGGCGACGAUCAGUAGCUGGUCUGAGAGGACGACCAGCCACACUGGGACUGAGACACGGCCCAGACUCCUACGGGAGGCAGCAGUGGGGAAUUUUGGACAAAGGGCGAAAGCCUGAUCCAGCAAUGCCGCGUGUGUGAAGAAGGCCUUCGGGUUGUAAAGCACUUUUGUCCGGAAAGAAAUCCUUGGCCCUAAUACGGUCGGGGGAUGACGGUACCGGAAGAAUAAGCACCGGCUAACUACGUG
rnacentral:rRNA from 1 species